CCUACGGGAGGCAGCAGUGGGGAAUCUUGCGCAAUGGGCGAAAGCCUGACGCAGCCAUGCCGCGUGUAUGAUGAAGGUCUUAGGAUUGUAAAAUACUUUCACCGGUGAAGAUAAUGACUGUAGCCGGAGAAGAAGCCCCGGCUAACUUCGUGCCAGCAGCCGCGGUAAUACGAAGGGGGCUAGCGUUGCUCGGAAUUACUGGGCGUAAAGGGAGCGUAGGCGGACAUUUAAGUCAGAGGUGAAGUCCCGGAGCUUAACUUCGGAACUGCCUUUGAUACUGGGUGUCUUGAGUGUGAGAGAGGUAUGUGGAACUCCGAGUGUAGAGGUGAAAUUCGUAGAUAUUCGGAAGAACACCAGUGGCGAAGGCGACAUACUGGCUCAUUACUGACGCUGAGGCUCGAAAGCGUGGGGAGCAAACAGGAUUAGAUACCCUGGUAGUCCACGCCGUAAACGAUGAUUGNUAGUGUCGGUAGCUGUCUCUCGGU
rnacentral:rRNA from 1 species